rnacentral:lncRNA from 1 species
GCCAGAUGUCUACCUGUCAAUCAUGCAAGGAGCCAGCUGAGGCUCAUGUCAUCUGCUACACACACCAGCAGGGUAAUCUUACCAUAAACGUUAGACGCCUUCCCUCGGUGAGUUCGCUUCACAGGUAUUGGGGAGAGGUGAUUAGGCAUGUAGACGCCUUCCCUCGGUGAGUUCGCUUCCUGGUGAACGGGACAAAAAGAUCUGGAUGUGGCAUCGAUGUCUUAAGUGUGCACAAAUAGAGGGAGUUCCACCAGCGACUCGCCGAGUAAUAAUGUCAGAUGCGGCUUGGGGACUCUCGUU